UGAUUGACAGCCCCUGAUGUUUCAACCAGUGCAUUUGAAGUGCUCCUGUGUUUUGGCCACACAAUGACCGCACUGCCCUAUUUGCUAUUCUCCAACCUGCCAAAAAAACUUUCGGUUUCUUCAAAGUUAAUGAUACUAGAAAGCAUUUGAAACCACACUCUUAUAGCCAGAGGGGAAGAGCUGAAUGCAUCUACAUCAGGCUGGCUAAACCAAACACCAGAACCAGCAUCAAGAAGAGUGAAAGGUGUUGACGUGUGCAAUGGGGCAAUGUGGUGAACCAGUACAACCAGUGAGGGCAUGUGUUUCACCAGCAGUUGACCACUUGUUAUACAGACAGAAACAUCCACCAAGAUCUUGUCUGAUGGGGCCUUCUUUGGAGGGUGGUGCUGGACCGGUAAUCUGUGCGAACUGUACUUGCCAAAGGUCAAUAAAGAGUCCAAGAGAUGGUGCCAUCAACGGGUCCACUAAUCCACAGCUCCCUCUGUUGAUCAAAUGCAUCUGAUCUCAUCAAAGCGGACCCUCUGCUCAUUCAAGUCCCAACAGACACCCCGGCUUCUUUACUAAGCACUAUUUUACAUUCAUGUUUGAAUACCACUGAUGGGAGAGCAUAUCUUGUAGACUUUGGUUUUGUGUGGUCCAACACUGCAG